CGUGUAGGCGGUUGGUCAAGUCUGGUGUGAAAGCCCGGGGCUUAGCCCCGGAAGGGCAUCGGAAACUAAACCAGCUGGAGCGCGAUAGAGGAGGGCGGAAUUCCUGGUGUAGCGGUGAAAUGCGUAGAUAUCAGGAGGAACACCGGCGGCGAAGGCGGCCCUCUGGAUCGUUGCUGACGCUGAGACGCGAAAGCGUGGGGAGCAAACAGGAUUAGAUACCCUGGUAGUCCACGCUGUAAACUAUGGGUACUAGGUGUUCGGGGUAUUGACCCCCUGAGUGCCGCAGCUAACGCAUUAAGUACCCCGCCUGGGGACUACGGCCGCAAGGUUAAA
rnacentral:rRNA from 1 species